GACGAACGCUGGCGGCGUGCCUAAUACAUGCAAGUAGAACGCUGAAGGAGGAGCUUGCUUCUCUGGAUGAGUUGCGAACGGGUGAGUAACGCGUAGGUAACCUGCCUGGUAGCGGGGGAUAACUAUUGGAAACGAUAGCUAAUACCGCAUAAUAGCAGUUAUUGCAUGAUAACUGUUUGAAAGGUGCAAUUGCACCACUACCAGAUGGACCUGCGUUGUAUUAGCUAGUUGGUGGGGUAACGGCUCACCAAGGCGACGAUACAUAGCCGACCUGAGAGGGUGAUCGGCCACACUGGGACUGAGACACGGCCCAGACUCCUACGGGAGGCAGCAGUAGGGAAUCUUCGGCAAUGGACGGAAGUCUGACCGAGCAACGCCGCGUGAGUGAAGAAGGGUUUCGGAUCGUAAAGCUCGGUUGUAAGAGAAGAACGAGUGUGAGAGUGGAAAGUUCACACUGUGACGGUAUCUUACCAGAAAGGGACGGCUAACUACGUG
rnacentral:rRNA from 1 species